rnacentral:lncRNA from 12 species
CCUUCCCAGCCCGGAACCAGCGGUAGUGGGAACAGAGGGGGCAGUGCCUGACGUCUGUUGGGUGACGGUGUGCUCUCAGGGACUGCUGUGGCCUCAGCCUGCAGAGCAGCGGCACGUUUCUCCAAAGUGGGAGCUCUGGAGGAAUCUAUGAGCAAGUCCAAGACACCCACUGGGUGCUGGAAAGAGUGCAGAGAAGCUUUCCUGGUGGACUUCCUGGAGGCCAGGGGAAGGCCCCUCGCUCCUCCCAUGAGGGAUGAAACACCAGGAUAUGGGAAACUUUCCUGAUUCAGCCAGCCCUUGGAUGUCAAGGAGACAAACACUGGACUGGAGCUCCGGCAUAAAAGGAGAUGUGCCAUUUUCAUAUGUUCCACACAUACUCAGAGAACCUGCUUGGAAUAUUUUUGCUGAUGAAAUUUUCUGGGUUGUAACAUUCAUCUCUUUGAAAAGCUUGCUUCCUAUAACCCCACGUGGAGGUGCUGGACACACACGGUGCUUUGCCGACGCGAGCGGACCCAGCUCCCUGCCCUGUGGAGAGCACCGUCUAAUGAAAAUAGACAAGCCCAGCACACCGGAAAUCAUACAAAUACAAGACGAAAGAUGCUGCUGGCUUGGGAAUUGGGGAAGGCCAGUCAGGGCUUAG